AUGAAGGAAGGCUGAGGGGUUAAAAUCAUUGCUGGGUGAUUUCACCACUACUGCCCCAUAUUCAUACUCUCGGUAAAUGAAUGAGGAGAGCCCCAUGUGGGAUUACAAACUUGCUGGAAAUGGAUGAGAAACCUUCUGCUCUGCUGGAGUUUAUCUUGAGUGUGCCUUAAAAUUCCAUUUCAUGGAGAACUGUGCGUGGUUGAAUUUUGAUUGAUUACUCAAUUAACUGAUGUAUUGGUAGAGUGAUUAAGAAAGAAGACUUUGGGAUCAGACCAACCUGGUUUUGAAUUCAAGCUCAGCAACUUACUAGGUAAGGAGGAGAAAAGAAAGAAGGAAAAAUUGGAAAGAUAAAUGGGGUCUUUCCAGUGAAGCCUCCAGGCCUCCAGACUGGAACUUAUACCACUGAUUCUUCUGAAUCUUAGGCCUUUGGACUUGGACUGGAACUAAACCAUCAGCUCUUCUUGUUCUACCACUUGCAGACUGUAUGUCUUGGGACAUGUCAGCCUCUGUAAUCACAUCAACCCUACUCUGAGCCUCCAGAGACUGACAUUUUUUAAUUUAAUUAAGAGGACCUCUUGCCCUCUGGACUGAGAUGGAUU
rnacentral:lncRNA from 1 species